ensembl:lncRNA
UUCUAUGUGAUGGCGGCUCUAUGUGAUGGCGGUUAUAUGUGAUGGCGGUUCUAUGUGAUGGUGGUUCUAUGUGAUGAUGGUUCUAUGUGGCGGUGAUUCUAUGUGCUGGCGGUUCUAUGUGAUGGUGGUUCUAUGUGAUGGUGGUUCUGUGAUGGUGGUUCUAUGUGAUGGUGGUCAUGGCGGUUCUAUGUGAUGGUGGUUCUAUGUGAUGGCGGUUCUAUGUGAUGGUGGUUCUAUGUGAUGGCGGUUCUAUGUGAUGGUUGUGCUAUGUGAUGGUUGUUCUAUGUGCUGGCGGUUCUAUGUGAUGGUGGUUCUAUGUGAUGGUGGUUCUAUGUGAUGGUUGUUCUGUGAUGGUGGUUCUAUGUGAUGGCGGUUCUAUGUGAUGGUUGUUCUAUGUGAUGGUGUUUCUAUGUGAUGGUGGUUAUUUGUGAUGGUGGUUCUAUGUGAUGGUGGUGAUGGCGGUUCUAUGUGAUGGUGGUUCUAUGUGAUGGUGGUGAUGGCGGUUCUAUGUGAUGGUGGUUCUAUGUGAUGGUGGUUCUAUGUGAUGGUGGUGAUGGCGGUUCUAUGUGAUGGUGGUUCUAUGUGAUGGUGGUGAUGGCGGUUCUAUGUGAUGGUGGUUCUAUGUGAUGGUGGUUCUAUGUGAUGGUGGUGAUGGCGGUUCUAUGUGAUGGUGGUUCUAUGUGAUGGCGGUUCUAUGUGAUGGUGGUGAUGGCGGUUCUAUGUGAUGGCGGUUCUAUGUGAUGGUGGUGAUGGCGGUUCUAUGUGAUGUGGUUCUAUGUGAUGUGAAGUGGUCCUGUCUACAUCUGGUUUACUUGUUUGAAUCAUUUCUGUCGUACAAAUUGUUCAUCUUUUUCUUUUAUUCAUUUUUCAUGUUCUCACACACGAGGCGGACUUCCUGUCCCAGUGCGUGUUUGAUGAGUAACCGCGGCGAUCACACACCUGGACUUACAUCUGCCGGCACCAGCGAGGUGGAGGCACGUUGAUGAGAUCUCACUCAUCUGAUGACACACAGAAGUCACGACAUCACUUCCUGUCUGCGCCGCUCUCCUCGACCAGUCGGCAGGUGAAGGUCCUGUUUUAUUCAUUUAAAGAGUAAAAAACAAAAUAAUUCAGUUAUUUAUCAACAUCUGGCGCAAUAAUAAGACUUUCAUAAAAGCACCAAGCCGGAGACGCUUUAUCACCACUAACAUCCUUCAUAGAGGAUUAAUGUCCAGACUGAACGACACGUCGUAUCAGUGGUUGAGUCGUGUGUCUCCCUUGUGCUUUUUGUCUUGUCAUCCAGUCCAAUGAGACAAUGAGAGACACUGAAACACUCUGCUGAGCUAACGUUAGCAUCAGACAUCGCUCACCAGCCUGACAGAGGAUGACGUCGUCGCUUACAGGGACUUUUCCACGUUAACGAUGACCAUGAAAGGAAGCGUGUGUGUUUGUGUGUGAGGCCACAGUGUGCGGGUGUGUGUCAACACCUGUAAAUCCUCCAGACAUGAUUAAUCAGCACCGAACGUCUGUGUGUGUGUGUGUGUGUGUGUGUGUGUGUGUGUGUGUGUGUGUAGCAGACCUACAGGAGAUGACACUUGUUUUUAGGUGGGCUGCUUUACCAUAACACACACAUGAACACACACACUCAUUGCUAAUGGAGGAAUGUACUCAGACAAACACACACACACACAGACACACACACAGCUGGUGGCCCUCAGACCAGCAGGGUGCCAGUUUGAUACUGAUACUGAUUGUUACUGUCAAUCAAUAUCAAUCAAUUAACGAUAGCACAUGACUGUGAACAUACAGAGCCAGAUGUUCUGCUCUAAUGUCAGAUGUUCUGCUCUAGGUCAGAUGUUCUGCUCUAAUGUCAGAUGUUCUGUCCUAUGUCAGAUGUUCUGCUCUAAUGUCAGAUGUUCUGUCCUAUGUCAGAUGUUCUGCUCUAAUGUCAGAUGUUCUGUCCUAGGUCAGAUGUUCUGCUCUAAUGUCAGAUGUUCUGUCCUAUGUCAGAUGUUCUGCUCUAAUGUCAGAUGUUCUUUGGUGACUCCCAAUGAACGGACCCAUUGAUCGGUCAGGUCCACUGAGUGCUGAGUUUCUGGCUUCAUGCCGGUUGCCAUUGUUGGAUUUCUUUGGUUGGAAUCAGGUCACAUGGCGUCCAAAUAAUAAAAAAAUGGGAUCCCAGAAAAUCUGGAGAAAUAAAUUAUUUUGGUGUGACGUAUCACACGGGGGGAGGGAGGAGGUCUGAGUCUCCUCCAGGUUCCCUCACUGAUGUGAGUCACUAUUGAAGGCCUCCAGGGUGCAGAAGAAAAGAAAUGAUGCUUUCAUAUUGAGCCUGAAGCGAGUCCCUCACAGCUUCCACGUGAUCUCCUCUCAGUCAGGAAGCCUGUUAGAUGUUAGAUGUCCCUCAUGCACAGCAAGUCUCCUCACAACCUGAGACAUGAAAUGAAACACCUCCAGCCACUUGGAACGUGCGCCCAGAGAGAGGGUGUGUGUGUGUAUGUGUGUGUGUGUGUGUGUGUGUGUGUGUCGUGUGUGUGUGCGCAUGUGUGUGUGCGUGCGUGUGUGUGUGUGUGUGCUGGAGUUCUUGUGAACUUGUUAAAGUGGUUCUCUGGCUUUAAUGGAGGCCUGAGGUCACACCUAAGAAGUCUUAUUGAGAACGAUUUAUUUAAGUACUUCAAUUAAAGUAGAACUUUGUUAACGGGGUUCAAAUCCAUCAUAAAUGCACGUUUGAUUUAAGAACGUUAUUAGUUGACUCCAGGAUUUCAUCGUCACUCAGUGUCUUAUUGAUCAUAUUUCUACUCAUAAAGGCUCCUUCGUGUAACAUGAAGGUCUCCACAAAUUGAACCGUAUUACAAGUAAGAUUUAAUUGUUUAACACAAGAUGGGAAAUGAUCGUUGGGGGAGUCAAACACACACAAGCGUCGGGCAGGUUUCAUCAACCAGACUCUACUAGAGGUUUCACGUCUUCUUCAACACAGCGUGAUGUUCAUUGAGUAAAUGAUGGUCCAUUCAGAGUCAAACAGACUUUAGGCCGGGGCUACACGCUGAUUGACAGGUCUCUACCUAACUACGGUCAUUUCCUGUUCAGUGGAUGGUCAGUAAACAGUGGAGAUACAGAGAGUAUAUUAAUAUGUAACAUUAGAAUCCACCCAAUGAACAGCAAGGCCAACCACAGACCAGAAUGCACUGCAGCGACCCCCCAGGUGCAGAGGGGGGGAUGCGGGUUCACCAGAGUGCGUCGGGGCUGAGAAGAACCUCCAGUCUGCCUCUUCAAACGAGUUGAAUCGAGUUGAAACGAGUUGAAACGCUCCUCCAAGUCGAGGCUCUUAAACUGACGGGAAUUCCCCGGCGGACUCGAAUGCGGCAUCAUCAUUAUUCCGUCUGCUUUGAACCCCCUCUCCCCUUCUCCCGCUGGGGCUCUACGGGAUGACAGGAGGCUCUGCUGCAUGAACUUCACCUGAACUCACCUGGUGGGUUCAUGUUCUAGAUCAGAGGUCUUCAACAUAUAUAUAUACAUAUAUAUAUAUAUAUAUAUAUAUAUAUAUAUAUAUAUAUGCAUAUAUAUACAUAUAUUACAUAUAU